UACGGAGGAUCCAAGCGUUGUCCGGAAUCAUUGGGUUUAAAGGGUCCGUAGGCGGUUUAGUAAGUCAGUGGUGAAAGCCCAUCGCUCAACGGUGGAACGGCCAUUGAUACUGCUAGACUUGAAUUAUUAGGAAGUAACUAGAAUAUGUAGUGUAGCGGUGAAAUGCUUAGAGAUUACAUGGAAUACCAAUUGCGAAGGCAGGUUACUACUAAUUGAUUGACGCUGAUGGACGAAAGCGUGGGUAGCGAACAGG
rnacentral:rRNA from 1 species